rnacentral:lncRNA from 1 species
CUUCUGAUUGGGAUCAGUUCAACCAGAUGACCUCCAAGAUUCUGUGUAAGAGGUCCCCAACGCUUGGAGUGUAACUUGAGUGGAGUACCUGUUUUCCUUUACUUCUCCCACCUAGACCUGAGUGCUUCUGGCCCUGAAACAUGUGCAAAUUCAUCACAUGCUGGAGAGCUACGAUGCACCUUCUCUGCCCCAGCUAGACCUCCUAUUUGCAUGGUGGUUUUUAGUUUCAAAGCUCUUUCAAUAGUAUUGCCUCAUUUAAUCCUCCUACUAAUUCUUCAAGGAGGGCUGCAGGAACUUGGAGUACUACAUGUAAUAACAUACUGGUCAUCACUCUUGGCAAAUAUUGAAAGCUUCACUUGGUCCCUGACACCUAAAGGAUAAAGAAGAGCUUGAUGAUCUGAUGUGAGGUUUUAAAAUUUGCAGAAUCUUGGCCAGGUGUGGUGGCUCACGCCUGUAAUCCUAGCACUUUGGGAGGCCGAGGCAGGCGGAUCACGAGGUCGGGAAAUCGAGACCAUCCUGGCUAACACGGUCUGGAGAUCAGAAGUCCAAAAAAUGGGUCUCACUGAGCUACAAUCAAGGUGUCAACAGGCUGUGUCCUUUCCUGGAGGCUCUGGGAGAGAAUCGGUAUCCUUGCUCUUUUCCCACUUCGAGAGGCUGCCACAUUCCUUGGCUGGUGGCUCCUUCCUCCAUCUUCAAAGCCAGCGACAGAUGGUGAAUGGAGUCCUUUCACGUGGCUCACUCUGCCCUUGUUCCUGCUGUCACAUCCCCCCUUCUCUGUCUGACUUUUCUGUCCCCUUCCUCCACUCUUGUCAUUACCUUGGGCCCAUCUGAAAAUCCUGGAUCGUCCCCCUAAUUAAAGUCAGUGGACUAGCAACUUUAAUUCCAUCUGCAACCUUAGUUCCCUUCUGUCAUGUAGCCUAACCUCAUCACGAGUGUCAGGGAUUUGCACGUGGACAUCCUCAGGGACCCCAUCGUGAGUGGUUGGGGGGAUGUGGCCAGAAAGAAGGCAGUGGCAGAAUGCCCAAGAACUCUGCAGCUGCGCUGAGGCAUCUGAGAGCCAAGGAGGAAACCUUCUUUGUGGUUAAGUAAGAAUGAACUAAUAUCCAUCUGGCAUUUGGCAUUUUACACUGCACUUUUUGUACAUUAUCUCAUUGGAUCUUAAAAACAGCUCAUUGUGAGAUGUGUUAAUAUUAUUCUUAUUUUAAGGUGGGGAAACCGAAAUCAAACAAUGUAGGUGACUUUUUUCAAGAUCACCCAGUGAGUGAUUCAGGACUUGGCCCAGGCUUUCUGG